CCCGCUCCCUGAAAACCUCUCCCUCCGUGCCAGGGCUCAUCCCCACCGCGUUGUAGCCUCCAUCAUCGCCGAAAUCCUCGAUCGCCCCACGCCGUGCCAAAAUCCUCAUCUGCCCCGCGCCAGCCCCCGCCCCCUGCCGCCCAAACCGUGCCCGCCCCUCAGCCCCGGCGCUCGCCACUGCGUCCCACACUGCGACAACCACCCCCUUCCCCCACGAGAUGCUGGCUCUCCUCCACCUAAACCCUAACGUAGCUUCUCCACCACACUAUCAGACUCAUCGCAGCGGAGUUCCUCCUCCUCCUCAAUGCCUAACCCCCGCCCCUGCGAUGCCGUCGUCGCGUGGUAUCUAAUCGGUGUUUCAUCUGCAGAGGCAGCCUAACGCGGCGAUGCGCUAGCCGUGGGGCGGCUGCUUCUCAGGCGGUGGCGUCCGCGUAGGCGGGCGCGUCAUCCCCCAGGAGCCAGAGCCGGAGGUCUUCUCCUUCGUCGAGCCCUUCCGUGUUGUGGUGCCCAGGUGAGUACAGAACUAGCCAUCCCUCUCCUCCUUUGGUGCGCUUCCCUCCUCUCCCCUCCGCGUUGUGGUCCCCAGGUUGAUGAUGAUGAUGUCCAAGAAGGUGCUCUUCCUCCGUAUAUACUAGAUCGUGAAUUCGUGAUCUGACACAAUGUGCCAAGAACUACAGAUGUAACUUCAAUAAUAUCUUUCUGCACUUGGACAAGUUGAUGAUCAGCAGCGGGAUUACUAAAUUAGGGGACAACGAGGUCUUGCUGCUCAUGGAGAGUGGUGUCAGGAUACCCUCGUGUGUAUGCAUUUCUGCAGCGACAAGAGCACCACCACUUCAGGUUUCAAUCUAAAACUACGAAAGCACAUUCAUCUCAAGAGACAUGAAGAUGUCCAUAUGCUCAGAUAUGACAGGAUUAUCCUUUUCCAUUGUGGGUGUGGCAAUAAUGCACAUUUCAUAAUUUUGGAUCUCCAUGCACAAGGAAACAUUCUUCUCAUAGAUUCAGAACACAUAGUAAUGACACUACGUUCUCAUAGGUUGUUGCCUAAUUGAUAAGUUUUCUUAGCAUGUAUUACCAUCGUUGCAGCAGUAUUGACUAAUAAGGAUAAGAAAAUAUUAGAGUUAACAUGUUGUCCUGUGACCGCUCCCCUGCCUGGCCCUCAACUUCUUCCUCUUCGUCGCCUCCAUCAAGGCGUCGCUGAUCAAGUUCCUGUAGGGUGUGUGGGUGCCCAUUCUUCUGACCCUCAUCUUGCUCACCGUCAUGUUCGUGUGGAACCACACCACUAUCUAGAAGUAUGAGUAUGACGCAUACAAUAAGGUGACCCUGGAGUGGUUGGUGGCGCUGGACGACAAGCUGGGCAUAGCACAACACAAUGUGCGAAAACUUGUUUACAAUUUUUUACAUUUGAAGCGGUGAUAAUGUAAAAUUUCUUAAUAAUUUUUACGUAUGAAUAGUUGUAAGUUCUCAA